ACGAACGCUGGCGGCGUGCUUAACACCUGCCAGUCGAACGGAAAGGCCUGCUUUCCCUUGUGGAUUGCGGGUACUCGAGUGGCGAACGGGUGAGUAACACGUGAGUGAUCUGCCCCCAACUUGGGUAUAAGCCUGGGAAACUGGGUCUAAUUCCCGAUAGGACUGCAGGGUGGUGCCUGUGGUGGAAAACGAUUUUCUAGUGGUUGGGGAUGAGCUCGCGGCCUAUCAGCUUGUUGGUGGGGUAAUGGCCUACCAAGGCGGCGACGGGUAGCCGGCCUGGGAGGGGGGACGGCCACAUUGGGACUGAGAUACGGCCCAGACUCCUACGGGAGGCAGCAGUGGGGAAUAUUGCACAAUGGGCGGAAGCCUGAUGCAGCGACGCCGCGUGGGGGAUGACGGCCUUCGGGUUGUAAACUCCUUUCGACCGCGAGGAAGCCACCUGGUUGGAAGGGUGGUGACGGUAGUGGUAGAAGAAGCACCGGCUAACUACGUG
rnacentral:rRNA from 1 species